CCAGAGUACUACCGGAAACAGCCCAAAACUCAAAGGACUUGGCGGUGCUUUAUAUCCAUCUAGAGGAGCCUGUUCUAUAAUCGAUAAACCCCGAUAAACCUCACCAAUCCUUGCUAAUUCAGUCUAUAUACCGCCAUCUUCAGCAAACCCUAAAAAGGAAUAAAAGUAAGCUUAAUCAUAUCUCAUAAAGACGUUAGGUCAAGGUGUAACCUAUGGAAUGGGAAGAAAUGGGCUACAUUUUCUAUCUCUAGAAAACUCAUAUACGAAAGCCAUUAUGAAACUAAUGACCAAAGGAGGAUUUAGCAGUAAACUAAGAACAGAGUGCUUAGUUGAACCAGGCCAUGAAGCACGCACACACCGCCCGUCACCCUC
rnacentral:rRNA from 1 species